rnacentral:rRNA from 1 species
UACAGAGGGUGCGAGCGUUGUCCGGAAUCACUGGGCGUAAAGGGCGCGUAGGUGGUGGCUUAAGCGUGCGGUGAAAGCUCGGGGCUCAACCCCGAGUCGGCCGUGCGAACUGGGCUCACUGGAGCAUAGUAGAGGCAGGUGGAAUUCCGGGUGUAGCGGUGGAAUGCGUAGAGAUCCGGAAGAACACCGGUGGCGAAGGCGGCCUGCUGGGCCUAUGGCUGACACUGAGGCGCGACAGCGUGGGGAGCAAACAGG